CUGUUGUACAUCUGGAGCAUCAAAGCAAAGAUGGCGCGAGCUAACUAACAAAGAUCAAAUUUGGAAUUCGGUACCGUGACGAUUCCGAAAAAUCGAAGCGAUACGACUGAGCAAUUGUCAAUUUUCCUUGUAUCUGGAUUUGGCGCUAAGAAAAAGGAUAUCGACGAGCGGCGCGCUUUCGACGCAAACUGUUAUAAGUGAAGCGAAUAGUGCCCCUUAAUUUGGAUCUCAGGUCAACUGUAGCUAUUUCUCAAGGACGAGGCUCACAACAUCUAAACAAUUCCGGCCAUGCUGACUGUUUUCGUCUUCAGUCCGUGUGCGGAACAAAUUCACAUCACCGUUGACACGCGCAUGGGCACAAUGCAGCUUCAAAACAUGACAGUUACGAUGCGGGAAUCGUUAACCUUUUUAUUCCCUGCUGAUCAUCCGACCCAAAAAGGCCCCUUAUUUCGAUCGUCGAGCUCAAAGCAUACAUACAUAUAGACAUAGUAAAAUUAUGGGGAUUGGUGAAGGACAGCCAAUCGCCGGAUUAAGAUCAACAACACGCAUCCACUAACAGUUCAACGAGUCAUCUAGGGGCCGACUCCCUACCACCAGGUAGUUACCAGAUCGGAUAAUUGCCAGCAGAACAUCGUAACCACUACGAAGAUUACAGGAUGCUAGAAAUGUUCAUGGUUUAUGAACUGAUCAAGUUUAGCACCUACGCUGUGACUCAUGUUGGUGUAUUUAUUUAAAUACUAUUUAAUAAAUCAAUAAAACAUAUUUUUAUU